rnacentral:lncRNA from 1 species
GAGAGCACCGCCCACAGGCUGAAGAUCCUGCCCCUUCAGGACGGCCGAGAACGCGCCUGCCUUGCACCACCCCCACCCCGCCCCGCGUCCUUCAGGAGAGCCGGAAACGCUCCUACCCCUACUUCGCUUCUGCACGGCCGCGAGAACGCACCUGUCCAGCCCCCUGUUCGCUCCGCCCACUCAGCGCGCGCGGGAGCGCGCGCGGGAGCAGCUCCAACUUUUUCAAUUUGCCGCCAUCUUUACGGCGGCCGACUUCCCAGCCUGCCUCGCGUCCAGGGAGGCGGAGCUCAGGUCUCUGAAAAGGGGACGGGGGGCGGGGGACGGGGGACGGGGGCCGGCGGGAGGGGACGCGGCCGGCAGAUGGCGAAGGAGGGGCGCGAGGAGGCGGCCACUGUUGAGGGGCGGGGCGUCCCGCCGAGAGUCUGGAUGAGGUCCGGGGAAUGAGGUGAUUCGCCCAAAAGCACACUACAAAUUGGAGUCACCAGCAGGUCUGCUAUUUUGCCACUAAACCAAUCUGCCGGUCACACCUUGGCUGUAAAGUGUCCUAACAGCCACCUACUUAUGAUUACUGCUUUCUUACCAAUAACCUCCCCAGCCUGUUGUGUGGCUCCUACAUCUUGAACAAAAGCGACCAAGGCAUACAUCUGUAGGAGACCAGAAUAUGCCACCCCAAAAUAUGCCUCCUUGGCCUAAGGAUUAUUCUGAGCUAGUAAUUUUGAGAAACAGAAGCUAUGAAAACAGCAUAAGCUACCCCUUUGAAAGAGAAAUUCACCCCGGCCACCACCCCGUCUGGGAAGUGAGGAGCGUCUCUGCCCAGCCGCCCCGUCUGAGAAGUGAGGAGCCCCUCCGCCCGGCAGCCGCCCCGUCUGGGAAGUGAGGAGCCCCUCUGCCCGGCCGCCAGGCCGUCUGGGAGGUGUGCCCAACAGCUCAUUGAGAACGGGCCAUGAUGACGAUGGCGGUUUUGUCGAGUAGAAAGUGGGGAAAUGUGGGGAAAGGAAGGAGAGAUCAGAUUGUUGCUGUGUCUGUGUGGAGAGAAGUAGACACAGGAGACUCCAUUUUGUUAUGUACUAAGAAAAAUUCUUCUGCCUUGGGAUGCUGUUAAUCUAUAACCUUACCCUCAGCCCCAUGCUCUCUGAAACAUGUGCUGUGUCCACUCAGGGUUAAAUGGAUUAAGGGCGGUGCAAGAUGUGCUUUGUUAAACAGAUGCUUGAAGGCAGCAUGCUCGUUAAGAGUCAUCACCACUCCCUAAUCUCAAGUACCCAGGGACACAAACACCGGAAGGCCGCAGGGUCCUCUGCCUAGGAAAACCAGAGACCCUUGUUCACAUGUUUAUCUGCUGACCUUCCCUCCACUAUUGUCCUAUGACCCUGCCAAAUCCCCCUCUCUGAGAAACACCCAAGAAUGAUCAAUAAAUACUAAAAAAAAAAAAAGAGAAACUCACAGUCUUAAAAGAAAUCGCUCUUUGUAAGGGUGUCUCCCUCUCUGUACCAGGAAGAGAAAGUUGACUCUAAAUCACCAGAGACCCUUAUCAAUGGAGAAGGCAGCAACUUGUUUUGUGUGCUUCUCCGGGUCUUUUUCCCAAAACUGGCCUUCCUCACUCCCUUCUUUGUUUUUAGCUGAAGAUGGUACUUAAACCUGAAUUCUAAGCCACUCCUUUGAGAAUUACUCAUUUUCUUGGGCAUCUCACAUGUAUAUGCAAAGUAUACAUGUUAAUAUAGCUCCAUUUGUUUUUCUCCUGUUAAUCUUUUGAGCUGGGCAUGGUGGCUCCCGCCUAUAAUCCCAACAUCUUGGGAGGCCAAGGCAAGAGGAUUGCUUGAACCCAGGAGCUGGAGAUCAGCCUGGGCAACAUGACAGGAGCCCAUCUCUACGAAAUAAAAAAUUAAAAAAUUAGGGCCAGGCGCAGUGGCUGACACUUGUAAUCCCAGCACUUUGGGAAGCCGAGGCAGGUGGAUCACAAGGUCAGGAGUUCAAGACCAGCGUGGCCAAGAUGGUGAAACCCCCGCCUCUACUAAAAAUACAAAAAUUAGCCAGGCAUGGUGGCAAGCGCCUGUAAUCCCAGCUACUCGGGUGGCUGAGGCAGGAGAAUUGCUUGAACCCGGGUGGCAGAGGUUGCAGUGAGCCGAGAUCAUGCCACUGCACUCCAGCCUGGGUGACAGAGCAAGACUCUGUCUCAAAAAUAAAUAAAUAAAUAGCCAGGUGUUGUGGCAAGCUCCUGUAGUCCCAGUUACUUGGGAGGCUGAGAUGGGAGGAUCACUUGAGCCUGGGGGUGUGGAGGUUGCAGUGAGCCAUGAUAGCACCACUGUGCUCUAGCCUGGGAGACACAGUGAGACCCUGUCUCAAAAAAAAAAAAUCUAUCUUUUGUUACAAGGACUCUAGCUGAGAAUUUAGAAGGGUAGCAAGAAAAUUCAUCUUUCCUCCCCUAAAUAUGCUACUGAUAGAGGCGGGAGACAGCCAAAUGCCAUCCAGGUCAUUAUGCACAGGGGGCUUGCCUAAACAUGCCUACAGUGAAAAAUUCUAUCCCUUAACACAUGUGCAGUAAGGGAAAUAAAUCAGUGUGGAGUGGCUCAGAUUAGAGGCCUACAUGUGCACUGGGGAAAUGGGGUGGAGCCACCAGGAAUUCAUGCUUUAUGCAGGGGAGCCGGGCUUCUUCAGCUCCAGUAUGGUGGCCUGAUAUUCAGUCUGUGGAGUAGGAGCCUGUUGGCAGGACCACCUCUUUGCUAAGGGCUUUCUUUUCACUUAAUACAUUCUGACCCUUCAAUGUGUCCAUGUGCCUAAUUUUUCCUGAUCGGGAGACAAGAGCCCAGAUUUUAGCUGAACUAAGAAGAAAAAUAUCGUGCGUCACUAGUUGGCCUGGAAGAACAAUGGAAUUACUCAUUUGAGAUGUGGGUUUGAAGAAAGUUAUUUUUAGUAUUCUGAUAAGCAGUUAAAAUACUGCUGUCAUGUUUCUCUCUUUGUGCCAGUCUCAUGCAGUUUCCCAGCAAAAUCACAAUUAAACUGAUAAUGUGAUUUUUAUGUUUUGGCAUCCUUUCAGAUUUUGUUUUUUUUGUUUUGUUUUUGAGACGGGGUCUGGGUGUGUCACCCAAGCUGGAAUGCAUUGGCAUAAUCACAGCUCAUUGCAGCCUCAACCUCUGGGGCUCAAGUGAUCUUCCCACCACCUCAGCCUCCUGAGUAGCUGGGACUAUCAGCGGACGCCACCAUGACUGGCUAAUUUUUAAACUUUUUGUAGAGACGGGUUUUGUGAUGUUGCUCAAGCUGGUCUUGAACUCCUGGGCUAAAGCAAUCCUCCUGUCUGAGCCUCCUGAAGUGCUGGGAUUACAGGCCACGAUGUCUGGCCUCUAAUUACUUUGAUAAUAAGUAAGCAUCUCCCCUUCUCUUUUUUUUCUGAGACAGAGUCUCACUCUAUUGCCCAGGCUGGAGUGCAAUGGCACAAACUUGGCUUUGCCUCCUGGGUUCAAGCAACCUCUGCCUCCCAGGUUCAAGCAAUUCUCCUGCCUCAGCCUCCCAAGUAGCUGGGAUCACAGGCGUGUGCUACCAUGCCCGGCUAAUUUUUUGUAUUUUUAGUAGAGAUGGCGUUUCACCAUGUUGGCCAGCCUGCUCUUGAACUCCUAACCUGCCUUCCAAAGUAUUGGGAUUACAGGUGUGAGCCACCACGCCUGGCUCUUUGUUGUUUGUUUUUGAGCUGGAGUCUCGCUGUGUCACCCAGGCUGGAGUACAGUGGCGCCAUCUCGGCUUACUGCAACCUCCACCUCCUGAGUUCAAGCGAUUCCCCUGCCUCAGCCUCCUGAGUAGCUGGGACCGCAGGCAUGCACUACCACACCCAGCUAAUUUUUGUAUUUUUAGUAGAGACGGGGUUUCACCAUGUUGGCCACGCUGGUCUUGGAACUCCUGACCUCAGGUGAUCCGCUCACCUCAGCCUCCCAAAGUGCUGGGAAUACAGGUGUGAGCCACCGCGCCUGGCCGCAUCCCCCACUUCUCUAGUGAAUUUUUUGGGGUUAUCACUGUGUUAAAAAGCUCUUCUCUUUGAGUCCCUUGGGAGAUCCCACUUUCUUCAGUAACACACCUUCUCUGGCCCUUCGUAGCUAUUUACUUUCCCAGUACUCUUUCAUCAUCUUGAAACCACCAUUGCAAAAUUAUAACUGAGACAGUGACAGAGAUCUGACCGAACCAACUCCAUCUUGCUUCUAACUUCCAAGCUGUCCUUGUUCAUUCCUGAGUGUAGGCUGAACUAACUUUGGGAGGAACUUAGUUUAUAGUUUAAAAGAAAGACAAUAAUAGCCCUUUCCCAAAACAAACCCCCAUCUUGCCUGGGGACCAGAAUGCCUUUGUAGGAGUAACAAAUUAGCCAAAAGAUUAGAAAUUAUGAUUUAGGAGUCAUGCAGCUAGAGGCUACAGGAUUCUGACCCUCCCCAAAUUGCUCCCGGGAAUAACAUCACUGAAGUCUAAGAUCAGUGCUUGAGAUAUUUUGCAGACCUCGCACUGGAUGGAUCAGCUGGCACCACCCAGAUCGAUAAACUGGCUCAUCAGAUCUUGUGGCCCCCACCCAGGAACUGACUCAAGCACAAGACAGCUUCAAUUCCCUAUGAUUUCAUCUCUGACCCGAUCAAUCAGCACUCCUGACUCACUGGAUGCCACCCACCCUCCAAAUUAUCCUUAAAAACUGUGACCUCCAAAUGCUUGGGGAGACUCAUUUGAGUAAUAAAAAAAGUCCCAGUUUCCCACACAGCUGGCUCUGCAUGAAUUAUUCUUUCUCUAUUGCAAUUCACCUGUCUUGAUAAAUUGGUUCUGCCUAGGCAGCAGGCAAGGUGAACCUGUUGGGCCAUUACAAUCUCAUAGCAGUGGCAGAAUGGACAGACCAGUGAACCCUGUGCUAGGACAACCUGCACCAGGCCCUGGCUGUUGUAGGAGGUCCUUUUUUUUUU